GCCAGUUCUGGGUCCUGGCUGCCAUCUUCCCACAGAAAGCAGAAGAGCGCCCACAGAACUCUGGGAGAUUGCAAAGGUCAUAUGUGCAUAUUUACCAGUGAAUGGCCCUAGGUGGGCACCAUGGGGGUGUUCAGAGCAAGCCAAACGCUGCAAUGAUUCUUUACAGACACUUAAGACUGACUUUUUUAUGAAUUACUUAAUCGAAACCAAAGAAACUUUUUCUGCACCUACUUCUGCAACAAACAGAACUGUCCCAUUAAAUGAAUAAACAAAUCCGUAAAUCAAUGGAAAUCACCAUCAACAAGAAGGAAGCACGCCAGAAAAAAGAAAACCCACAAAAAACAAAAAUCAGCGCGACACACUGUGUUCAAACAGACCUCUUGGGACAUUUUUUGGAAGCAGAUUUGAAAGAAAGGGUUGAGACAAGAAUUGAAGUAAGGAAGAGCCUGAAUGGCUGCUGCUUCAUUUGACAACUCACAUGGUAAUCUUAAAGUUGAAGAUUGUCUUUAAUUUGUGCCUAUGCAGUUUUUCAAAAGAACACGGAACAGAGCAACAGAAACCUCAACAGCUACAAUACCAAAGAUGAGGAUUUCUCACACCUUUUGUUUCAGUUCAUUAUCUUCUUUUGCCUGGCUAAAAUACUAAUAGCGCCAUUGAUCUGUACAAAGGGUGAUAGACUGACAUGAUGAGCAAGACUCUGGGAGAUGUCAAAGGAAGAAGUGUGAAAGCAAGUGGCAGCAGACAAGCUCUUCAAAGAUCGUGACCCUGUCUUCCAGAC
ensembl:lncRNA